UAUGUUCCUUGAUGUUAACUGUUCGCUUUAAUAGGAUGCUACUCUCAAGUUGUUCGUCUAGCUGCAAGUGCACAUGUGAAUGCACCAACAAGCCGUUCCAACAAAGACACAUCAAGAAAAUGAAACUAGUCCAGGAUAAUUGAUGGAGAGACAAGGAUUGGCAUAUUUGCCAACCGUUACAUAACCAAAGGAGAGCACCUGACCUAUGAUUACCAGUUUGUUCAGUUUGGUGCAGAUCAAGAUUGCUACUGUGGUGCAUCAUGUUGUAGGAAACAGCUAGGUGCAAAAGCUAGAUAAGCUAAGAACAUACCUGCAUGUAAAGUAGUGACCUGGAAACCACCCAAGGUGAAAAAGACUCGAGGUAGACACGCCGCCGGUUAGUAUCAAUACUUCAGUUUCGAUUUUCGACAAGCUUCUCAGUUCAGAGGUAAGGAAAAACAAUUUGGAUGCGUCAGGACAAUUUGAAUGUGUGUAGACUCUGUUGUUGUAUCCAACUCGAAUAAGUGUAAUGACAGUAUAUAUACGUAGAGUAUUUUGAACCAAAGCGGUGAUGAUGAGUGUGUUAUUACAACCAAUAAACGAUUUGUUCGGUCUGCAACUCCAGUGGCAGUAGGUUAGUGUGUUCGUUGUAGCGGUUGCUACCCACG